rnacentral:lncRNA from 1 species
UUUAGAUUCAAUCACCCAGCAGAAGCUGCUGUCUUAAGACAAAGAAGAUCAAUUAAUGAAACCCCACCCAUUCUGAGUUGUGGAGCUUUGGACUGGCUCAGCUUGGAUGGAAGUUGCACUAAUUCUCCUCACUAUGUCCUUUCUUCUCUUGACAAUCAGAAAUGUAGAAACUGUAAAGAAAACAAAUGUUCUCCUGAACUAAGGUAAGAAUAUUAAUGUGUCUAAAUCAUGCUGAAUUUUUUGGCCCUCUAGCUUUGUCACUUUUCUGUGCUACACUGAUUUCCUC